rnacentral:lncRNA from 1 species
UCCCUGGGCUCAGCCCGCGCUUACCUGACUCCUUUUCUUCCAGGGAUAAAACGCUGCUAAAGGAGAAGAGGAAGCGGCGUGAGGAGCUGUUCAUCGAACAGAAGAAAAGAAAGCUGCUUCCAGAUGCUGUUUUAGAGCAGCUAACCACAGCUUCAGAGGCAGACAUAAAGAAGUCACCAGGAAACGUAAAAGUUAAUUUGAAAAAGGAACAUGAACAACCUGCUGCAAAAGGAAGAAACUCCAAGAAAGUUAAAAUCCAGAAAGUGCAGUCUGUCGGUCAGACUAAAAGCUACUUGGCUGUGAGGCUUAAAGAUGAAGACCUCAGAGACUCAAGGCAAGAAGCAGCCAAGCACUUCAUCCACAGUUGUUUGUACGGUUCAGGAUCCAGGAGGACAACUG